rnacentral:rRNA from 1 species
GACGAACCGAGCGAACGUUGUUCGGAAUCACUGGGCUUAAAGGGCGCGUAGGCGGGUGCUCAAGUCUGUGGUGAAAAUCCUCCGGCUCAACCGGAGAACGGCCAUGGAUACUGGGUGUCUCGAGGGUGAUAGGGGUAUGCGGAACUAUCGGUGGAGCGGUGAAAUGCGUUGAUAUCGAUAGGAACUCCGGUGGCGAAGGCGGCAUACUGGAUCACUUCUGACGCUGAGGCGCGAAAGCCAGGGGAGCGAACGGG